GUUGAAAGGGAGUGGUAAGAGUGGGCAUCCUUGUUUUAUUCCAGUUCUCAGAGGGAAUGCUUUCAGCUUUUCCCCAUUCAGUAUUGUGUUGGUUGUGGAUUUGCCAUAGAUGGCUUCUAUUACAUUAAGACACUCAGAACUACGCUAUUUUCUUGCUUCCCAUGAAGUCAGACAUGCACCUGUGACUGAAUUCUAGGCCAUGGAAUGUGAGCAGAAAGGAUGUGCACUAUUUCCAGGCCAAGCCUUGUAAGAAGCGGAUCUGCAGGCUGAAUGCUGAAGGUGACUAUGAUGGUGAGGCCAUAAGAUGACUUGGUCCUUAUGGCUCUACAUGGACGACAGCCAACCUGUAAGCAGAAAUACACACUAGGAGUUUAGGUGAGGACAAAACAAAAUUCUACAGCAUCUGAGCCCUUUUACGUGUGGGGAUCUAUUUGCUGCCACAGCUCAGACUCUCUACUAAGACUGGUAUCUACUGUUUCAGCAGCUUGAACCACAAGCUGAUGUUCCUCCAUGCUCCAGCCAACACCAAAGGUCAUUUUCUAUUUCCUCUGGUUCUCCCACACUGGAAUGGCUGAAAUCCCACAGGCUGUGGAAGCUACUGAAGAUCAAAGCUAUUCCAUGCCAGACAAAUGCUUCUUCAAACCAGCAUCUAACGAUUCUACUUCAGGGAUUAGGGAAAGAAUACAUUUUGUGAUUGCUUUUAAUUGGUACCUGUCGUCUGCUUGAUAGAAUUUUAUUAACAGAAGUGUAAACAUUCAUUGCAAUCUCAGAACACAGGAAUCUUAAGCAGCUUAUGAAAUUCAAUCAAAGUUCUUUUUAUCUUUAGUGUUUGCUGAUAACUCAUUAAAUGUUUCUCAAUGUUACAAGUUCUACAGCAGAAAUAUGCCUUGCAAAUAAAAGUGAUAAUGUAGAGAUGUUAACACAGCAAAAAGGUUGAGGGUUGCUCAACACUGCACAAAGUAGUAACAACCUUUCACUAUAAAAGACUACUAUUAACAGGAGAAUAAAUAGUCCAUAGAUAUUACUAUUUAAAAAAAAUGAAUAGAAUCUACCAAUUUUUUGCCCACCAUCCCAAUGUUAUCAAACCCGUGUACAUUUCACACACACACACACACACACACACACACACACACGCAUGCACAUAUACUUUUUUUGUAGAAUUUAAGUUCUCUAGAUAACCCCAGGAGAUUUUACAGUGAAUCUAAAUUCUACUGGAGAUGGAAAUGUUCUUGAGGCCUGUAGUCCAUUUGAUUCUCUGGAAUGCAGUUGUUUUGUAACAGUCUAAUUCUAGCAGAUCUGCUCACAAUAAGGCAGUAACAAAUCUCAUGAUUUACACUCACUCAGCGGCUUAGGUACUGAGGUGUUAAGUGACAAUAUGGCGAACUAAAUCUCAGUUUCUCCAUUGGUUAAUGUGCAUCUACAAAGUAGAAUCAGACAAACAGGCUAUGACUGUAUUAAAAACAAAUCUGGAUUAGGCUGAUGGAAUGGAAGUCCUCACAUCUAGGCCAAUUUUAUAGUGCCCACACUGGCUGGUAUGAGUGUUUCAUGUUUAACUGGGAGGUGGUUUCUCUGAACACAGAAACCAGACAUCAGGGGGUCUUUCUGGAAUUAGGUGACCCAGUUUCACUGCUGACACUCUCCAGAUAUGCAGCAUAGGAGGGGACAUACUCAGCAAGAAGCCUCUGCUAUAAGCUCCUAAGUGACACCAAGAGAAGCACUCUCUGAGAAAUUCGUCACAGCAACUUUCUGACCAUUGGAAAAAUCCCUUUACUUGAAUGUCACAGAAGCCAAUGUGAUCAGAGGCCAACAAAAUGGUACAGAGAUGCUGUAGGUCUCAACCUCAGUCAUAGUUGAGUUUUUAUAUCUGGCUACAUUGAAAUCUGAAUAAAU
rnacentral:lncRNA from 1 species